UACGUAGGGUCCGAGCGUUGUCCGGAAUUAUUGGGCGUAAAGAGCUCGUAGGUGGUGUGUCGCGUCGGAUGUGAAAUCCCGGGGCUUAACUCCGGGUCUGCAUUCGGUACGGGCAUGCUGGAGUUCGGUAGGGGAGACUGGAAUUCCUGGUGGUAGCGGUGAAAUGCGCAGAUAUCAGGAGGAACACCGGUGGCGAAGGCGGGUCUCGUGGGCUGAGCACGUGACGC
rnacentral:rRNA from 1 species